CCUGUAACGAUCAACCAAGUCUUUAUUUUUAAGUUUGUGAUCCUCCGGUCUGCAGGGACCGUCUACAAAGUGCAACAGCGACUCAAAAUGAUGCAAAAACGCUCAAUAGCUUCUCUCUGGAUUGGUGCAGACUAACCCAAGUCUAGGAAAUAAGUCUCUGCAGAAUUUAGGGGACAUAUUUACCUCUCCACGCCUCACUACUGUGAGUACAAAGUUCCCAGAAGUUAGACCUCCAAAUGUUUUGAACUCGGCUGCAGAAACAGGUUUGCAGAAAGAAAAAUGCAAAUUUAAAAACCCUAAAUUAUAGGUCUGCAAAACAAUCAUGAUUUCAGUUACUUUUAUACUAUAGUCUGUGAUUCUAGUAUUAAAUCUUUGUGCAAAUUCAUCUCAUGCAAAACUUUAAAUCCUUUUAAAUGUUUUCUUUACUUCUAAUCUCUCAGGAGGUUCUUUUACGCUGCAGAUGUUGAUAUUUUGGUUUAAUCACAUGUGAAACGGCGCUGUAAUUAUAUAUAACCUCUGCUCAUACAGAUAAUUUAACAUAUUUCUCUCUUUAUAUAAAAAAAGGUGUUUCUGUUUGUUUGUGGUCAUCAACACUAACCACACCUCGCUCUCUCUGUCUCUCUCUCUUUUAUUUCCAUUUCCACCGUUCCUUCACCCUCCUCCAUCUCCUGCAACUUCUCCCCCACUCUCUCCAUCAUCCUCCCUCCUUCCUUAGUUACAUAUUGAUUAGGUCGCCUCUCAGUGUGUGUAUGUGUGUGUGUGUGUGUGCGUGC